AUUCUGUUUACACUGUAAUUUCUGUUGAAAAGAGUCCAUAUAUGCUGCUUAAAGGCUGGUAUCGACUGAUUCAUGAUCUGAUUACUCGAGAAGGUCCAUUUCUUGAAAUAGCUUGCAUCCUUAUUGCUGGUUUGACAAGCAUUCUGUGGCUAAUUGUGGUUGUUUCAAGUAUCGUGUUGGCAGCUUUCAUGAACAUUUUAAUUGGAUUGUAUGCAUCAGUUGUAGUAUAUCAGGUUUGCUUACACCAGACUAUAAUCAUUGUAAUCUCCCUGGCCUUUCAUGAUAAGUAAAAUUAUACAUUUUUUUAACCGUUUGGAAAUGCAAGAGAGAUCUUAGGAAAGGUGUGGUACAUGAUUGCAAUGAUGGCUGAAUUUGAUGAGUACACGAAUGAUCGGCUAUAUCUUCAAGGGGGAUCAAUCUUUCCAAAGUUAAUGACUUUCCCGCUUAUGAAAUAUUGUUCCUUAAGCUCAUUAAGUUUUACCGCAGAAAGUUACUUUCAGAAAGUGAAUAGACUUUCUUCGUAUCUAUCUUAUAUUUUGGUCAUUUCCAUCAAUCAGUAACUAUGUUUUAUGCCUGACAGCUUCAAUCCUCUUGAUUCCCAUGUAUGACUUGAAUCCUAUAAAAUUGGCCAUUGGGAAUGAAAAGUCGCUUCAUUGCUGUAUAUUUAUCAUUUUUGGUUGUAUCAUGUGAAAUUAAGUGUCGCUUGAUGAGCUUAGAUUCCUAAAAGGUUAGAUAUUAAAAUGACAUCAAUUUGCACAAUGAAUGAUUCAAGAGGUCUCAAAUGAGUUUUAUCGAUAUUAAUAACAAAAAAUCUUGAUAUUUUAGUAUAGCUAGCGAAAAUGAACGGUUCGAUAUUAAACUGUUCAAAUUCGUGGAUUUGGGUAAGAAACUAAGAAACCCUGAUAUUUUCUUUCGGUUUUAAGAGCUGAAAUGGACAUGCAUGUGUUUUUCUUUGUGAGAAAUAAGAAAUUGAGAAAUUUUUUGUUUAUCAUUCUGGAGUGGGAGGGGUAUUGUCAGAAAUAAGAGAAUUACUAAUUUUAAUCAAUUUGAUAAAUUAAGAAUAUAGAGGUAGCGAUCUACACAAAAAUAUGUUAAUAAAUUGGUUGAUGGGUUUUCAAUUCCGUGUUAUUAUUGGCUCUGAUGCUUUUGUUUGACUUAUGUGUAUGAUAGAAUUGAUAUGUUCUGUGUAUGUGAGCUUGCUUAAAAUAUAGCUAGGAAACAUCUUUCCUUUUUCAUUUGGGCAAACAUUUAUGUCCUACACUGUUAACUUUCUUUGAUGUUUACUCUGGAUUUUAUAAGUUAUUUUUAAAGUUUGGCACAAAAUUGCUUCUCUUUUCUUGGGGUGCAAGGAAACGAAGGAAGGGAAAGAAUCAAAGUCUGGAUUUAUCAAAUACUUGGUAGAUAUUCCAUGCAUUUUGCAGCUGGAAUCUUUUGUUGCUAUUUCAAAGCUGGAGGAGGCAUUGUGGAUUAAUAAUAGGAAAUAUGAUGCUAUGUGGUGCUGGGAAAUGCUUAAACUGCUUGCGCAUUAUGCACUCCGAACCAAAUGAGGCAACAGUUCCAAAAGGUGUUGCAGUGCUUCCAUAAGGCCUUCAAAUAGGUACUUCCACUUACAAAUCUCAAAGAAACUAUAUUGUUUUUUCAACUUUCAAUGUGUAAUAAGGAGGGUAGUGAGAUUGACUGCAUAAUUUGUAAUUUGGGUUUAGUGACUUAUAAAAUUGCAAUUUCAAAGAUCUUAAAUUAUAGCUUAGUUAUCCAUUUUUGAAA